rnacentral:rRNA from 1 species
AUUGAACGCUGGCGGCAGGCCUAACACAUGCAAGUCGAGCGAGCGGCGCACGGGUGAGUAAUAUCUGGGAAACUUCCUCAUGGAGGGGGAUAACUACUGGAAACGGUAGCUAAUACCGCAUACCAUCAGAUGUGCCCCGAUGGGAUUAGCUAGUAGGUGGGGUAACGGCUCACCUAGGCGACAAUCCCUAGCUGGUCUGAGAGGAUGACCAGCCACACGGGAACUGAGACACGGUCCAGACUCCUACGGGAGGCAGCAGUGGGGAAUAUUGCACAAGGGGCGGAAGCCUGAUGCAGCCAUGCCGCGUGUAUGAAGAAGGCCUUCGGGUUGUAAAGUACUUUCAGCGGGGAGGCGUUACCCGCAGAAGAAGCACCGGCUAACUCCGUGCCAGCAGCCGCGGUAAUAC